AACGAACGCUGGCGGCAGGCUUAACACAUGCAAGUCGAACGGGCGUAGCAAUACGUCAGUGGCGGACGGGUGAGUAACACGUGGGAAUGUGCCUUUCGGUUCGGAACAACUCGGGGAAACCCGUGCUAAUUCCGGAUACGCCCUUACGGGGAAAGAUUUAUCGCCGAAAGAUCAGCCCGCGUCCGAUUAGCUAGUUGGUGAGGUAAAGGCUCACCAAGGCACCGAUCGGUAGCUGGUUUGAGAGAACGACCAGCCACACUGGGACUGAGACACGGCCCAGACUCCUACGGGAGGCAGCAGUGGGGAAUCUUGGACAAUGGGCGCAAGCCUGAUCCAGCCAUGCCGCGUGAGUGAUG
rnacentral:rRNA from 1 species